rnacentral:rRNA from 1 species
UACGUAGGGUGCGAGCGUUAAUCGGAAUUACUGGGCGUAAAGCGUGCGCAGGCGGUUUUGCAAGCCGGAUGUGAAAUCCCCGGGCUCAACCUGGGAAUGGCAUUCGGGACUGCAAGGCUGGAGUGCGGCAGAGGAGACUGGAAUUCCUGGUGUAGCAGUGAAAUGCGUAGAUAUCAGGAGGAAUACCGGUGGCGAAGGCGGCUCACUGGGCUCAUUACUGACGCUCAUGCGCGACAGCGGUGGGGAUCAAACAGG